rnacentral:rRNA from 1 species
UACGUAGGGAGCAAGCGUUGUCCGGAAUUAUUGGGCGUAAAGAGCUCGUAGGCGGCCUGUUGCGUCCGCUGUGAAAGCCCGGGGCUUAACCCCGGGUCUGCAGUGGAUACGGGCAGGCUAGAGGUAGGUAGGGGAGAAUGGAAUUCCCGGUGUAGCGGUGAAAUGCGCAGAUAUCGGGAGGAACACCGGUGGCGAAGGCGGUUCUCUGGGCCUUACCUGACGCUGAGGAGCGAAAGCGUGGGGAGCGAACAGG